rnacentral:rRNA from 1 species
CUUAUCAAAAAUAUCGUUUCUGUACGUGCUUUCACUCGUGAUAAUUUAGUCUCAAUUGAAUCUAACCCAUAUGGCUUCUCUAGCAAGUAUCUCGCAACCAAGACGGUGCUUCUCCGAUGUGACUCCACCGGCGAUUUGUACACCUUCGCUCCGCCCCGUCCAUGCCUCACCGCCACCGUCACCGCCGAUCUUUGGCACCAGCGCCUUGGCCACCCCGGUGCUACCGUCCUCGCCAAGGCCUCCACAUAUUUCGAUUUCAGCUUUAAUAAAAGCUUGUCGACCCAUUGCGAUGCAUGUCGUCUCGGCAAACACACUAGGCUGCCUUUUAGUUCUUCUACUUCUCAUACUACUUUUCCAUUCGAACUUUGUCAUUGUGAUCUAUGGACAAGUCCAAUAUUAAGUGUGUCUGGUUUCCAAUACUACUUGGUUAUUCUUGAUGAUUUCACACAUUUUGUAUGGACCUUCCCUAUACGUCGCAAAUCCGAAGUGCAUGGCCUAUUAGUUCAAUUUUUUGCCUAUGUCCACACGCAAUUCUCUCAUCCCAUUCUCGCUCUUCAAACUGACAAUGGCAAAGAAUUUGACAACCUCGCCAAUCGUUCUCUUCUCGCCACUCACGGCACUCUCUUUCGCCUAACCUGCCCGUAUACGUCCCAACAAAACGGCAAGGCCGAACGCAUUCUCCGUACCCUAAACAACAGCGUGCGUACACUUCUCAUUCACGCUUCCAUGCCUUCCCGUUGGUGGGCUGAAGCUCUAGCCACGUCCACGUAUCUCCUCAACCGGUGUCAGUGCAAACCUCAACUUCUGACCACCCCCUACGAGCUACUUUUUGGGCAUGCACCCGACUUUCGUCACCUCCGCGUUUUCGGAUGUCUUUGCUAUCCCAACCUCUUAGCCACCACCCCCAACAAACUCUCCCCACGUUCGGUUUCUUGUGUCUUUCUAGGCUACCCCGACGAUAGGAAAGGAUAUCGUUGUUACGAUCCCUCCUCCCAGCGCAUUAUCUUUUCCAGGCACAUAACUUUUGUGGAGACU